GACGUAGGGCGCGAGCGUUGUCCGGAUUUAUUGGGCGUAAAGAGCUCGUAGGCGGCUUGUCGCGUCGACUGUGAAAUCCCGCGGCUCAACUGCGGGUCUGCAGUCGAUACGGGCAAACUAGAGUGUGGUAGGGGAGACUGGAAUUCCUGGUGUAGCGGUGAAAUGCGCAGAUAUCAGGAGGAACACCGGUGGCGAAGGCGGGUCUCUGGGCCAUAACUGACGCUGAGGAGCGAAAGCGUGGGGAGCGAACAGG
rnacentral:rRNA from 1 species